GGUAAGGUCAGCUAAAUUAUAAGCUACUGGGCUCAUAAUCCAGAUAUAAGAGUUUCAACUUUCUUCCUUACUU
rnacentral:tRNA from 1 species